rnacentral:rRNA from 1 species
AGGAACUUGUUCCUUGGGUGACGAGCGGCGGACGGGUGAGUAACGCGUAGGAAUCUGCCUGGUAGUGGGGGACAACAUGUGGAAACGCAUUCUAAUACCGCACACGCCCUUAGGGGGAAAGGAGGGGAUCUUAGGACCUUUCGCUAUCAGAUGAGCCUGCGUGAGAUUAGCUAGUUGGUGGGGUAAAGGCUCACCAAGGCGACGAUCUCUAGCUGGUCUGAGAGGAUGACCAGUCACACUGGGACUGAGACACGGCCCAGACUCCUACGGGAGGCAGCAGUGGGGAAUAUUGGACAAUGGGGGCAACCCUGAUCCAGCCAUGCCGCGUGUGUGAAGAAGGCCUGCGGGUUGUAAAGCACUUUCAGUUGGGAAGAUGAUGACGUUACCAACAGAAGAAGCACCGGCUAAAUCCGUGCCAGCAGCCGCGGUAAUACGGAGGGGGUUAGCGUUGUUCGGAAUUACUGGGCGUAAAGCGCACGUAGGCGGAUUAGAAAGUUAGGGGUGAAAUCCCGGGGCUCAACCUCGGAACUGCCUCUAAAACUCCUAGUCUAGAGUUCGAGAGAGGUGAGUGGAAUUCCAAGUGUAGAGGUGAAAUUCGUAGAUAUUUGGAGGAACACCAGUGGCGAAGGCGGCUCACUGGCUCGAUACUGACGCUGAGGUGCGAAAGUGUGGGGGGCAAACAGGAUUAGAUACCCUGGUAG